rnacentral:snoRNA from 1 species
ACCCUCCCGCUUCCUUACCCACCAGAUCUAACUACUGGGCUGAGUGGCUCUAAAAGAAAGAAAAGUGAAACUGAAACUGUACUUUAAUUCUUCGGUGGCACACAAGCUCGUUUCGAACAAAC